rnacentral:rRNA from 1 species
AGUGAACGCUGGCGGCAGGCCUAACACAUGCCAGUCGAACGGCAGCACAAGAGAGCUUGCUCUCUGGGUGGCGAGUGGCGGACGGGUGAGGAAUGCAUCGGAAUCUGCCCAUUUGUGGGGGAUAACCUCGGGAAACCGGGACUAAUACCGCAUACGACCUACGGGUGAAAGCAGGGGAUCUUCGGACCUUGCGCAGAUGGAUGAGCCGAUGCCGGAUUAGCUAGUUGGAGGGGUAAAGGCCCACCAAGGCGACGAUCCGUAGCUGGUCUGAGAGGAUGAUCAGCCACACUGGGACUGAGACACGGCCCAGACUCCUACGGGAGGCAGCAGUGGGGAAUAUUGGACAAUGGGCGCAAGCCUGAUCCAGCCAUGCCGCGUGUGUGAAGGAGGCCUUCGGGUUGUAAAGCACUUUUGUUGGGAAAGAAAAGCAGCCGGUUAAUACCCGGUUGUCAUGACGGUACCCAAAGAAUAAGCACCGGCUAACUUCGUG